rnacentral:rRNA from 1 species
CAGCCGCCGCGGUAAUACGUAGGUGGCAAGCGUUGUCCGGAAUUAUUGGGCGUAAAGGGCUCGCAGGCGGUUUCUUAAGUCUGAUGUGAAAGCCCCCGGCUCAACCGGGGAGGGUCAUUGGAAACCGGGAAACUUGAGUGCAGAAGAGGAGAGUGGAAUUCCACGUGUAGCGGUGAAAUGCGUAGAGAUGUGGAGGAACACCGGUGGCGAAGGCGACUCUCUGGUCUGUAACUGACGCUGAGGAGCGAAAGCGUGGGGAGCGAACAGGAUUAGAUACCCCAGUAGUCCCUGUCUCUUAUCA